rnacentral:rRNA from 1 species
GAUGAACGCUGGCGGCGUGCCUAAUACAUGCAAGUAGAACGCUGAAGGAGGAGCUUGCUCUUCUGGAUGAGUUGCGAACGGGUGAGUAACGCGUAGGUAACCUGCCUGGUAGCGGGGGAUAACUAUUGGAAACGAUAGCUAAUACCGCAUGACAACAGUUAUUGCAUGAUAACUGUUUAAAAGGGGCAACUGCUCCACUACCAGAUGGACCUGCGUUGUAUUAGCUAGUUGGUGAGGUAACGGCUCACCAAGGCGACGAUACAUAGCCGACCUGAGAGGGUGAUCGGCCACACUGGGACUGAGACACGGCCCAGACUCCUACGGGAGGCAGCAGUAUGGAAUCUUCGGCAAUGGACGGAAGUCUGACCGAGCAACGCCGCGUGAGUGAAGAAGGUUUUCGGAUCGUAAAGCUCUGUUGUAAGAGAAGAACGAGUGUGAGAGUGGAAAGUUCACACUGUGACGGUAUCUUACCAGAAAGGGACGGCUAACUACGUG